GAUUCUGGCUGUGUUGAGACUAGACUGUGGGUGAACAAGGGAAGAAGUAGGAAGACCAGUUAGAGGCUGUGGCACUCAUCCAGGUGAAAGAUCACAGUGGCUGUGUCUAGGAGAGUAGCUGGGGAGGUCAAAGGAUGUUGCCGUGACAAGGAAGAGAAAGCUUACCAGCUACUUACCAUUGCUUCUUAGAAUGAAGACUCAGUGAAACAUUUCGUAUUUUUUCAGUGGAGGAUCAGUAAAAGAAGAGGGAGAGUUACGGAAGGGGUGGCAAGAAAAGCCCCAAGUUCACCUUCUGCUUGCCCACAUAACACCUCUUCACCUUCCGGCUGCCAGAGGAGCUAUGCUAUUCUUAGCCAUCUC